CAAGCUGAGAACGACUUGUUAAGUUAUGAUGUUAGUUGCAUGAGAACGACUUGUUAAGUUAUGAUGUUAGGUGAAAUGUAACUAACAUCAUAACUUAACAAGUCGUUCUCAGCUUGAC